AAGUCGUAACAAGGUUUCCGUAGGUGAACCUGCGGAAGGAUCAUUACUGAAGUUAGGGUCUCAUCUGCGAGCCCGGAACCUCCAAGCCCUUUUGUAUAAAACACUUUGUUGCUUUGGCAAGGCCCGUCGAAAAUCCUUUCACCGGGAUCGACGACCGCCGGGGGCGUUUAGUCCACCUCUGGCCAGUGCUUGCCGAUAGCCUAUUCAAAAUUCUUUAUUAAAUCAUGUUCGUGAAAAAUUAUAACUAAAUACUAAUUAAAA
rnacentral:misc_RNA from 1 species